CCCCUCUCAGGGUAGCACCUGGAGAGUUUCCAGUACUCUACCAGUCUCGACUAUGAGAGGGAGAGUCAAGCAGAGGAAUACUCAUUUCAGUCCUAGCUUGGGCAGAGGCUAGCAAGUGGAAGGCAAUGUGCUACGAGU